rnacentral:lncRNA from 1 species
AUGCACGGGCAACAUCUCGCAGCACCUGAAUACAGUGAAGAGUGCUUUAGAAAGUAUCCUAAACUGCUCACAUUUUUCAAAGAAAUUUUUCUAAAUUGCCGUGAUGCAAAUGCUUUCUGCCGCAGCGAGUUCAUGAAGGUUUCCACUCUUCUAAUUCAGGCCAUCUCUGGGCUAAAAGAUAAGACCGUGAUAAAUAAUUCGGAAUGUAAUGAAGAUAAAUUACUCUUGGCAUUUUAUUAUGCUGUAGAUAAGUCUUUUAAGAUGUCAUUAAAUGCAUUAUGGCUUCUAUUCAAAUUUCCAGAACUGGAUUUAGUUUAUGAUGUAGUUUUUGGUGCAUGCAAGCUCAUUUUAAGGGUUUUGGUCACCACCUUGGGAAAUUUGCUUUACUGUAUUGAAUUCUUUUGUCAAACCGCUUGUCAGUUUCUCAAAGAGAAGGUUCUUGAAGUAAAGAAGAUAAUUUUUGAGGUUCAGGAGGCCUCCAGACAUGUUUUAGAUGCUGCACCCACAGAGACUGACAGUGAUUCUAAGUGCACUUGCGUUGAGACUGUCCGACUCUCUCCUCCAGGGUCUACCCCUAGUCCCAUGGCUUUGGUGACCGGUGAUUUAUACAAAUCAUCAUCCAUCGAUGCAACAACAGGAGAUCUAGUGGUUCAAACAGACGAAUCUAGUCAUUUUGUCAGACAUUUCAGAGAAGCCCCGUUGAUUGCUCCAGCCACCUCUUCUCACCAUAAAUCGGUACCUCUUUCAUCCGCUCUGUAUGAUGAUCAUGCCCCACAACUGACAAGCACUGAUAUCAGUGACAAGUCGAGUGUAAUUACUUCUGAAACCUUGAAUGUUCUUGAAUCUUGUGUUAUUGAAGCUCCAGACUCCACGGUUAGCGAUCCAACUAAAGAAAAGUUAUCACCAACAGAUGAAGAUGAUAUCGCUGUGGUCUAUACCAGCCCCAAUCCAGAACCUGAAAUCUUCCAAAGUGUAAAUAAUUUCCCUUUUGAUGUGUUGCCAACAUUUCUCCGUCAACGCCUUUUGAAAUUAAUCUGGGAACUAAAAGACUGCAUAGGCCACUUUUCAUUUCUUAAAGUAGGGUCGCUCAUCCAGUUCAUCUGCAGAAUUUGUGGGAGUGUGUUACAGUUGGAUGGCGUGGAAGAGCAUAUUCAUCAAGCUCAUAAAGGUAUAGGGAAAUCACCCAGCGUAGAUCCAUUGGACAAUAUCUUUAAGACCAACGAAUCGGAAAGGAUCAAAGAAACUGAUGGCCCCACAAGGAAAUCUAAGUUCGAAGUUGCACAAGCCUGUCCUAAGAAGAGCAUUUGUUUCUCCAUUAAAAAAAAAGAAUCAAAGAUUGUCCCAGUGUCAAUUAGCCCACAAGUUUUUUUUAGUGCAAAAAUGAAUAAGAAAUUUCCACAGCCAGUCAAAACAGACACUAACAAUAAGCACUCAAAAUUUCAAAAAGUCAGUGACAAAAAUUCGAGUACGCAAGCCUCUUUAGUAUUUAAAACUCCAAAUCCUGAAAGAGCUACUGAAACGGAAUCUGUAUCUGAUACUGCUGUAACUUCAUCUGAUGUAUUGUUUGAUAGUUCUAAACAGGAGCCAGGCAGAACUCAACCUAAAGUGUGUGGCAUUGCAGAGACUUUUUAUACAGACACUUUGAGUAUAAUGACUCUAAGAGAAAAAGAAGAAGAAGAGAUAUCUGUGAGUCUAAUCUCAAAAAGAAAGUAUGCGAUCCUACAAAUGAGAGCAAUUACAUAA